rnacentral:tRNA from 1 species
GCACCAGUAGCUCAGUGGAUAGAGCGGCGGCCUCCGGAGCCACAGACGUAGGUUCGAUUCCUAUCUGGUGUA